rnacentral:lncRNA from 1 species
UUAUUCCUAAUAUUAUGUCUGUUUUUUGCAUUUCUUCCUUUAUUUCAAAUUCUAUUUUUAUUUUUCUGACUCCUAUUAUUAUUUCUUUUUCUGCCGUAUCUUUAAUGUUUAUUAGACUCCUUGGUAGAUCUGGGCAUAUAUCACUAUUAGAUUUUAUUUCUUCACUUUUUACUAGAUAUUUUGCUAUAUAAUUUUCUUCUUGUCC